AUUGGCCUACGGGACGCAGCAGUCGAGAAUCAUUCACAAUGGGGGAAACCCUGAUGGUGCGACGCCGCGUGGGGGAAUGAAGGUCUUCGGAUUGUAAACCCCUGUCAUGUGGGAGCAAAUUAAAAAGAUAGUACCACAAGAGGAAGAGACGGCUAACUCUGUGCCAGCAGCCGCGGUAAUACAGAGGUCUCAAGCGUUGUUCGGCAUCACUGGGCGUAAAGCGUGCGUAGGCUGUUUCGUAAGUCGUGGGGGAAAGGCGCGGGCUCAAACCGCGGACGG
rnacentral:rRNA from 1 species